rnacentral:lncRNA from 1 species
GAAAAUCCUAAAAAAAAUAACAGCGAAAUCACGUCCAUAAUGGCAUAUCCAUGAAUCAGAUGUAAUCUCUUAAAGUGGGCCAAUGAAUUCCCAUAUCUUGUAUACUACGCGUGCCACAAACUGGGUGAAGUAUAUUGACAAAGAUGAGAGAAGUCUGACGGAAGGAGCAAAAGGGUGAACCACCUCUACGGUUGAGCCACAUUCAGACUGACGUGGUAAUGCUGAUGAAUCCAUUUAGCAACCGCAAUAUCUGAAGGCAAAGGAAGGAAUAGUAAGGAAAUGUAACAAGGAAGAGACUCGGCUCGAUAACAUAGAGGUAUACACGAGCACACGGAAGCUAUACUAACAGGAUCUUAAUAUAUGGCCAACGGCUAUCGGGUCGAAACGUAAAACGGAUGAUAGAAAACAGCGCUCGUGAAACGUACACUACGCAGGAGCAUAAAGUUACAGGUAUAAAGGUGAAAUAUCAAUACGAUAUAACAGCAAGAAAAUAAGGCAUUAGACCGUUCCUGCUACGUUUUAUUUUAUACCGUAGUCUUCGUAGAAUGCGCAACGUAAACGGUAUUUCGACAACAAGAGAUGGCACCUACAGCACGAAAGUGACGUACAAAGUGUUUCUAGAAAGAUAUUAAAAAAUACAACGUUUCUUGGUUUCCGUAAAAUGUGUUGCCAGUAUAAAUAUAAGGAAACGAUUAUUUGCUGGAGUAGCAUUUCUUUUUGUAUAAAACGUCUUUAUUUUAAAUGUCUUUUUACGCCACUUUGUUAAAAUGCGCGUAACAAAUCUGCAACGUUGAAAAAGCAUAUCGAAUGACGUGGAGAUUACUUCUAAUUAAAUAUAAAAUAAAUGCAAUUAAAGAUAUGAUAAAAUACGAUAAAGUGACA